CAAUGCCCUUCGGGGCUCCUUGGUGAUUCAUAAUAACUUAACGAAUCGCAUGGCCUUGUGCCGGCGAUGGUUCAUUCAAAUUUCUGCCCUAUCAACUUUCGAUGGUAGAGUCGUGGUCUACCAUGGUUUCAACGGGUAACGGGGAAUUAGGGUUCUAUUCCGGAGAGGGAGCCUGAGAAACGGCUACCACAUCCAAGGAAGGCAGCAGGCGCGCAAAUUACCCAAUCCCGACUCGGGGAGGUAGUGACAAUAAAUACUGAUACAGGGCUCUUUUGGGUCUUGUAAUUGGAAUGAGUACAAUUUAAAUCCCUUAACGAGGAACAAUUGGAGGGCAAGUCUGGUGCCAGCAGCCGCGGUAAUUCCAGCUCCAAUAGCGUAUAUUAAAGUUGUUGCAGUUAAAAAGCUCGUAGUUGAACCUUGGGCCUGGUUGGUUGGUCCGCCUCACCGCGUGCACUGAUCCGACCGGGCCUUUCCUUCUGGGGAGCCGCAUGCCCUUCACUGGGUGUGUCGGGGAACCAGGACUUUUACUUUGAAAAAAUUAGAGUGUUCAAAGCAGGCCUAUGCUCGAAUACAUUAGCAUGGAAUAAUAGAAUAGGACGUGUGGUUCUAUUUUGGUGGUUUCUAGGACCGCCGUAAUGAUUAAUAGGGAUAGUCGGGGGCAUCAGUAUUCAAUUGUCAGAGGUGAAAUUCUUGGAUUUAUUGAAGACUAACUACUGCGAAAGCAUUUGCCAAGGAUGUUUUCAUUAAUCAGUGAACGAAAGUUAGGGGAUCGAAGACGAUCAGAAACCGUCGUAGUCUUAACCAUAAACUAUGCCGACUAGGGAUCGGGCGAUGUUAUCUUUUUGACUCCCUCGGCACCUUACAAGAAAUCAAAGUCUUUGGGUUCUGGGGGGGAAUAUGGUCCCCAGGCUGAAACUUAAAGAAAUUGGACGGAAGGGCACCACCCGGAGUGGAGCCUGCGGGUUAAUUUGACUCAACACCGGGGAAACUCACCAGGUCCAGACCCCAUAAGGAUUGACAAAUUGAGAGCUCUUUCUUGAUUUUGUGGGUGGUGGUGCAUGGCCGUUCUUAGUUGGUGGAGUGAUUUGUCUGCUUAAUUGCGAUAACGAACGAGACC
rnacentral:rRNA from 1 species